rnacentral:rRNA from 1 species
UACGUAGGGGGCAAGCGUUGUCCGGAAUCAUUGGGCGUAAAGCGCGUGUAGGCGGCCCGGUAAGUCCGCUGUGAAAGUCCAGGGCUCAACCCUGGGAUGCCGGUGGAUACUGUCGGGCUCGAGUCCGGAAGAGGCGAGUGGAAUUCCUGGUGUAGCGGUGAAAUGCGCAGAUAUCAGGAGGAACACCUAUUGCGAAGGCAGCUCGCUGGGACGUAACUGACGCUGAGACGCGAAAGCGUGGGGAGCAAACAGG